AUCUAUUAAUAUAUAAUAGGAGAGUAGUAGUAAGUUAGUUGCUUGACAAGUGGCAGUUUGUAUAAUUGACAAGUGGAACUUCCUGUGAUAGACAUGUGGCACAGCAUUAAAAAUCUAUAAAAUAUAAAAUAAUACAAAUUCAGAAAGUUCUGUGAAGAAAGUGUUGGGCGGGAAUUUUAAUUGAAUUCAAAUUCAAAACCUUUAUUGAUUUUCUCUUAUGUUCACGUAUCAUGCCGAAAUUUAAAAAACUGAGAAAGCAAAAAUUUAGAAAACGAGAAGGGAAGAUGAGAGAGAUGCAAUUCUUGGCAGGGAUGGUGCCUGUAAGGGAAGACUUCUCCGGCGACGUCAUAGAGAAGAGAGGGUUAAGGGAGAGAGAGAAAGACAACGAAACAGAAUGAUGACGGAGGCCAUGCCGUUGUUGGAUCCACAUAACGGCUUCCAUCGCAAAACGGCGUUGCAGCCGCUCCUUUGCCGCGGCGGCGGUGGGUCCUGCGAAUGCGAGUUGACCACUCACCGAUUGCUCGGUUACGUUAAUUACAGCCAUCCUCAGGUUAGUUCUCUCGCUCGCACACAAUUUGUUUUGUUGGAAACGCUAAUUGGAAUUGAAUAUGGCUUUUAGUGUUAAUAUCUUCCCCGUGAAUGGUUAGCUGUGAAAAUAUUUUUUUCUGAAUUUCAAUUGUGUUUUUUGGAGAAAAAUAUUUUAGUGGCUGGUGAUGCAGAGAACUAUCUUCCUUAGUUACUAUAGUUUUGUUGUGUUUAUGUAUCUGAUCUUCAUUUUCUGUAUUAUUUUUAGAUACACUAGAGCUGCACAACUCUCUUGAAGUAUGGAGAGCUAAGUACAUAUAGUCUCUCAUCAUCUAUGUUUUUGAUCCUCCCUGCUUUUCCCAAAUGCAUGGAUGCAGAGAUCAGAGGCGUAUACCAAAAGAGGGGAAUAUAAUUAUUAGUGGAAAGAUUCAGUUCUAACAGCUUACAGCUAGGUGAAGGGUUAUUUUAUGUGAAGCAGUUGGGAGAGCAUCUGGCAAAAAAAAGAAAACAUAGUGGCAUAGGCUUCGGAGCUGUUUCUGUUGAGAAGACAAGAAGUUGGAGUCGGCAAGUUGACCAUACGGGUGAAGAUAACACAGAGAUUUGAGAUGCUGUGAUCUGACAUGUUGCAGAGCUAAUUUACUUUUUAAAAGAUUUUUCUUGCUUUUUGAUUUCUAUAAAUUUAUAUUCACUUUGUGCUUCUCAUUAAUAGAAUAGUAAAAGUGAAGCCUGAUAUACUACUGGAUAGAAUGAGGACAGUAAUUUCAACCAAAGAAAAACCUAUUGGUGGAGAGAACAUUGGUGAAAAGAUAUUAUUUGUCAUGAAAGCUUUGUUGGUUGAAGAGAUUGUUUUUGUGAAUAUAUUGGUGAUAUAUAGAAAGGAAUGAAGGCAAAUGGCAAGUUUAUUUUUAAAGAGGUACUAUUCAAGCUUUCUUUUGAACUAUGCAUGUUUAAAGGAUUAUAUUUAUAUUCAUUAUAUAAAGAUAAUUGCACUACAAUGUAUUCUUCAAAGUGAGAAUCAUUAAGUGGUACUCUGUACUCUCAAAAGAAAGCAUCCAAGAGAGACACUUAUCUUAGAAGUAAUUUUUUUAUUUCCUCUGCACUACUCCAGUUUAUUAAUGUAAAUAUGGAAUUCUUUUAAAUUAAGUAGUUCUUUCCU